UCAAAGCCAACCUAGCUCCAUCCACUGCAGAUUUGGAGAUGCCGACGGAUGAUCUACAAGCUCAUCCAGCUAUCAUCACAAGCGAUGCAAGGACGGAGGAGAUCGAGAUGGCUUCGAGUAUGACCACGACGGAGCUCCUUCCGAUGGCGUGUCAGCACUUGUCAGCAUGACGUCACUCGCAGGUACAGUUGAUGCAGCCUAAUGCGGCAGUAAUCCUCCCAGAUCUUGCUUGAGAGAUUCAUCUUCAAACUGGAUUCAAUACGACGCACAGAGGUGUUGGGCUCGAGGGUAGCCAGGAGGAGACAGAUCCAUUGGUUCUCGACCUUAUUCAAAGGCGCAUUAAUCAGGAGAUCCAGCAAGAUCCGCCAGCUUACAACAUCACAGCCACCUCAGCACAAGGAGAUCGAGUUAUGGAGAAAGAGAAGAGGAGAUUCACUCAAGCAGAGAAAGGGAAGGGAAUCAAUUCAACUACCACACAAGGACAGUAAUCACAUCCAUUCAAGACCAAAGGGGGAAGCAGCUCAACGAUGCCCAAGAAAAUCCAGCAGGGUGAAUGCUCCACCUCUAGGAGGAGGAUGAGCUUUCAAUCCCCAUCUUUUCAAGUACAUCCUGGACAGAGCCCUCCCAUGGAUCCACCACCAAGAAUUCAACAUGAUGAUGCACAAUGGACAGAUCAAAUUGAUGAGCAUGGUUAUUAGAUAGUCAAACUGGCCUACUGGUGGUGCCAGACCAACAAACAUUCAAGAGAGAAUUCACUGCCACACCAACUGAAAAAGGAUGAGCAGAGACGACAGUCAUACUUGGCACACGUCAGGGGCAAAUGUCUUAAUUAUUUCUCCACCGAGCACAAGGUUGCAGAUUGUAGGAGCCGACUCAAAUGCUGGUGAUGUCUUUAGUUGGGCACAAGGAGCACCGCUGUCCCUCCAGGAGGACUCCCUUUAAGAGGCCGGCUAUGGAGCUGCAUCCACAGCUUCACACUCCCCCUCAUAGUUCUGCUCCCCCUUUUGGCGGAGCUCCAGCUGGGGGUUCGACCGUGCGGAUGGUCGAAUGCUCCUACCUCCAGGUGUCUAAGGGUAAGAUAGUGAAAGAGGACAUGGCGACGUACCCAAGGGACUCCCAUGCACGAUCGGAGUUCGCGACCUGCGCGAUCUUCGCGACGGGGUCGAUCAAGCGCAAGAGGGAGUCCCUGAUCGGCAAGACAGCCGUUUGCUAGCUCAACGACAACAGCCAUGACUCUGUGCCCCACCACGUCAUCGACGCUCUGGAGGAGAAACUACACAUCUCAUGCCAAGAGGUGAAGGUCAUGAAGCAUUUUUCGGAGCAGCACCUCGUUUUAUUCUCUGACCGCAGGGCCUGCAAUCGAGUCCUUCACCACCAAGGCAUUUGGAGCAGGGGAUGUGUCUUCAACUUCGAGCAGUGGAUGGAGCAUUGUGGCACCAUGGAGAACAAGCUUGAGUUCCGGGUGAGGCUGCGCAUCGAGGUGUGCCCAUGCACACCUGGUCGGAGGAGGUGGUGGCCAAGAUCAUCGAACAACACUGCGCCAUCCACUACAUCGAGAGGCAUUCAUGUGGGCGUGGUCCUCCAACCCAAGCAAGAUCCCCAGAAAGGUAUUGCUCACCGUCACCAACCCAGACCAGGAGAUAGCCGACAAUGACAACUUCGUGCAACACUCUGACCCGCCACAAGACAUUAAGGGCGCGUACGACUACAAGCUGCACCUUCACCUCGAUGUGGUGGAGGGCCUUGCCUUCCUUCACGGGCGAGGUGGUGGCGGCGGGGGCCGCCCAAUAGGAAGCCACGCUGGGAGUUCCUGUGGAACUACGAUGUCGCGGACUCGCUGGGAGAGUGACGCAGCGGGCAGCACCACGACAACCACACCGGCCGCGACUACCGCCCUCGCCGAGACCGGGACAAUCACGACGACGACACCUUCCACCAUGGCACACGACAUCACCGCAGCCAGUCCUCCUGGGGGCGGGCAACACGUUGCCAUGGCACGGUGGAAGACUGCUACAGCUCCAGGCGUCACCGGGCAGGCAACCAGAACUACCGCAAUAGAGACUUCACCCAGGAGACUCCUCACCAGCAGAAGAUAACAGGCAAGCAGACGUUCUGGAGGAAGAAGAGCAACAAGCGAGUCUCCUUCCUUCGCCAAUUCCCUGGUGCAGAUCCUAGGGCACCCAUCUAAGGAGAGUCGCAUUCAGGAGAUGCUGGAGUCGGCUGCCGGUUGGACCCCCGUCGCCUCCCCACGCGGCCCUGGAGGGGACAUGGAGCAGCCUGAUGAUGGCACUACCACAGAAGCACUGAAGAAGACAACGCCCAUCCACACGAACCUGCAGCACCUCCCAAAGCCGUUGACCGGCCUGAAGAUGAGGCGAUCCAGACCUUGGUGGAGCACGGGAACCAGCCCAAGAACAAGAAUGAAAGAAGAGCAAGAUUGCCCCAGCACCAGCAGCAGGGGUGGACGCCCAGACGGCCUAAUGGACCAGAGCCUCAAGAUGUGGGUCAUUUUUACUUUCAGUAAUGUUAGGCAGACUCUAGAUCUCGAUCUUGAAUUCGAACUCAUUCUGGUUUGUAAUAGUAAUUGGGUCGGCAAUUUGGCCUAGUGGCUUCAGCGGUGCUUUGUUCCGGGUCGAUGGCCCAGCACCAGUGUCCAUGAAGCUCAUCGCUGCGAUCUCACGCGAAUCGCCGCCCUCAGAGCGAACCAGGCUUUGUAUCUAGCCCUAGCGCCAAGCCUUGUAACCUACAGAAUGUUGCUCCCCAGGGGUUUAAUGUUAGUUGUGUACUUCAUCUCCAUGUCACAAAAAGAUUGUAAUAUCCUGUGUUGGAAUGUACAUAGUCUGAA